UUGAACGCUGGCGGCAUGCCUUACACAUGCAAGUCGAGCGGCAGCGCGGGGGCAACCCUGGCGGCGAGCGGCGAACGGGUGAGUAAUACAUCGGAACGUGUCCUUUCGUGGGGGAUAACCAGUCGAAAGACUGGCUAAUACCGCAUGAGAUCGAAAGAUGAAAGCGAGGGACCGCAAGGCCUCGCGCGAUUGGAGCGGCCGAUGUCGGAUUAGCUAGUUGGCGGGGUGUAAUGGCAACCACCAAGGCGACGAUCCGUAGCUGGUAUUGAGAGAACGACCAGCCACACUGGGACUGAGACACGGCCCAGACUCCUACGGGAGGCAGCAGUGGGGAAUUUUGGACAAUGGGCGCAAGCCUGAUCCAGCCAUGCCGCGUGUGUGAAGAAGGCCUUCGGGGUUGUAACAGCACUUUCGGCCGGAACGAAAUCGCGCGGGUUAACAGCCCGCGUGGAUGACGGUACCGGAAGAAGAAGCACCGGCUAACUACGUGCCAGCAGCCGCGGUAAUACGUAGGGUGCGAGCGUUAAUCGGAAUUACUGGGCGUAAAGGGUGCGCAGAGCGGUUUUCGCAAGUCAGGCGUGAAAUCCCCGGGCUUAACCUGGGAAUGUGCGCUUGAAACUACGGGAUCUCGAGUAUGGCAGAGGGAGGUGGAAUUCCACGUGUAGCGGUGAAAUGCGUAGAGAUGUGGAGGAACACCGAUGGCGAAGGCAGCCUCCUGGGCCAAUACUGGACGCUCAUAGCACGAAAGCGUGGGGAGCAAACAGGAUUAGAUACCCUGGUAGUCCACGCCCUAAACGAUGAUGACUAGUUUGUUGGGGGGAGUUAAAUCCUUUAGAUAACGCAGCUAACGCGAGAAGUCAUCCGCCUGGGGAGUACGGGUCGCAAGAUUAAAAACUCAAAGGAAUUGACGGGGGGGCCCGCACAACGCGGUGGAUGAAUGUGGUUUAAAUUCGACGCAACGCGAAAAAACCUUACCUACCCCUAUUGACAUGUACGGAACCUCACAGAGAUGGUGGGGGUGCCCGAAAGGGAGCCGUAACACAGGUGCUGCAUGGCUGUCGUCAGCUCGUGCCGUGAGAUGGUUGGGUUAAAGUCCCGCAACGAGCGCAACCCUUGCCAUUAGUUGCACACAUUCAGAUUGAGCACAUCUAAUGGGACUGCCGGUGACAAAACCGGAGGAAGGUGGGGAUGACGUCAAGUCCUCAUGGCCCCUUAUGGUUAGGGCUACACACGUCAUAUACAAUGGCGGAUACAGAGGGUUGCCAACCCGCGAGGGGGAGCCAAUCCCAGAAAGUCCGCUCGUAGGUCCGGAUUGGGAGUCUGCAACUCGACUCCAUGAAGUCGGAAUCGCUAGUAAUCGUGGGAUCAUGCUACGCCACGGUGAAUACGUUCCCGUCGGGCCUUGUUUACCACACCAGCCCGUCACGCCAUGGAAGCUGUGAGCGCCCGAAGUCCGUGUCGGAAGACCCGCAAGGGGCCAAGCGGAGCCGAAGGCCGAGCGCAGUGACUGGGGCG
rnacentral:rRNA from 1 species